rnacentral:tRNA from 1 species
GGGGAGUUAGUUUAAUGGAAGAACAUUGGAUUCCAAUCCCAACUGCGGAGGUUCGAUUCCUUCACUCCCUGCCA